rnacentral:tRNA from 1 species
GAGAUAGUAGUUCAAUGGUAGAACGCGGCUCUGUGGAAGCCGUCACGGGGGUUCGAUUCCCCUCUAUCUCCCCA